rnacentral:lncRNA from 1 species
AGAGCGUGGGAGAGAACCUGCAUUCUGUUUCCGACCUCCCCCUCCUAGUCUUUAUCUUAACCUUGACGGAACAUUGAAGAUUUAAAAGGUAUAAAUAAGUCAAGUUUCUUAACACUCCUCACAGAACCAAGCUGUAAAUGUGGAAUGUACGAAUCACAGUGAGUGAGAACGUGAAGCUGCCAAGUCGGGAGUACAGAGUCCUCUGCCAUCUCCUGAGCACUGAGUCGUCAGAGUCCAUGACUCACAGGAUCAGCGGCAGUUCCCAGGCCCGAGACAGCACCACGGGAGGAAGGUCGGGGUGGAAAUAGGGGCGUGGUGCUCAAGUCGCUCUGACCGGCUCUUUGGCAGACUCCUGCUAGCAGUGACAAGCAUGAAGUAUCGAGGGUGACGUCCACUGUACUGACAGCACCCACCCUGCGGGGGUCCCUGGACUUCCAGGAUGCCUGUACUCGUUGGGGAUUGACGUGAUUUCUCUACGGCUCAGAGGCUCUAACUUUUACCUUCCUCAGGCGAGAGCACUUCCAACAGCCUUCGGGCCCGUGUUCAGUUCCCGACGUCUGCAUACGAAGUCCCGUGGUGCCACUUUAGAUGCCGUGUGUGGUGCCGGGCCUUGUCACGGCCGAGUGUCCACUGGGCUGGGGAGUACUCUUCGCCUCCAGAGGGAGGGAGGGACGCAAUGUGGCGUUCAAGCUCUUGCCUUGCGGCCUUACGCCCUGGAGCUCCCGCGGGGGUCUGGAUGGAGCUGAGGAGGAGACAGGGUCAGGAAAGCCGCCGUGCUCCCUGUGGACCAGUGUUUCAGGCUCUGCUCAGGGUUGAACCCUCUGGGUCUGCCAGUCACUGGCAGCCUGUCCCCUUUCUGUGACCCAGGACAUUCAUCUAGGUCUCUGUGGCCCUUGGAUCUUGUAGUGUUCUCCUUACUGUGCUGCCCUGAGCUCCUCGGAUGGGGACAGAGUCACCGACCUGUGAUCUCUACGUGUUUGCAGAGACUAGAAGGACGUUACAAGGACUUGCAGAACUGAAUUUGCUUUAAGUCACCAUUUCAGCGACUUUAUAGCAGUUUCCUACUGGGACAUUAUAAAACCCAAUAUCUGUUCUUAAAAUUCAUGAAGAGCUCUUAGUAACAUUUCUCCUUCCUUUUGAUCCUCCUUCAGUGUUUAAAAAUGAACUAAAGGACUUGACUUGGACUGCUGAGAUUCAAGAGCACGCACCACUCGUUUCUGUCUAGAAUUCAUAAUGGUAAUGCCUCUCCUCACUCAUUUCAAUAGGAGGUUUAUAGCCAAUUUUUCUUUCUUUUUAAAAUAUUUUUUAGUUGUAGAUG